GCUAGACUUUGUUAGAAGGCAAAAGCCCAAUUAGAUUCUAAGUCUGAACUCCGUGACAUUGAAGAGGAGUCUUACGGGGAUGAUUCAGAGGAUCUUUCUGAUCCAGGCUCUGAUGACUACGAUGAGGAGACUGACCCCUAUCAGGAUAUAAUUCCCAUAUAGCCUUCUAAGGUGGUGACUGAUAAUAGGGCCUCAGGGGACACCCAUAGGAUAUUGG